ACUGCUGACGAGUCCCAAACAGGGCGAAACGCGCGUCCUGGAU
rnacentral:hammerhead_ribozyme from 1 species